UGUCCGGAUUUACUGGGUGUAAAGGGUGCGUAGGCGGCUUUGCAAGUCAGAUGUGAAAUCUAUGGGCUCAACCCAUAAACUGCAUUUGAAACUGUAGAGCUUGAGUGAAGUAGAGGCAGGCGGAAUUCCCCGUGUAGCGGUGAAAUGCGUAGAGAUGGGGAGGAACACCAGUGGCGAAGGCGGCCUGCUGGGCUUUAACUGACGCUGAGGCACGAAAGCGUGGGUAGCAAACAGGAUUAGAUACCCUGGUAGUCCACGCUGUAAACGAUGAUCACUAGGUGU
rnacentral:rRNA from 1 species